rnacentral:lncRNA from 10 species
GAGCUCUCCCCAGAACCUGACCAUGCUGGCACCGUGAUCUCAGGCUUCCAGCCUCCAAAACUGUGAGAGAGAAAUAUCUUGUUUAUAAGUCACUGAGUCUAUGGCACUGUUAUAGCAGCCUGAGCUGACUGGAACAAUGGGCUUCUACUCAGCAGUGAAAAAGAGCAAGCUACUGAUGCACGCAGCACCAUGCUCUCCUUGUGGUGGGUCCUGCCCCUCACCGCCAAGUGUGAAUUUGGACCUCAGUCCAGAAGAAACGGGUUUUGUAUCCUGGAAACAAGACCAGGGCUCUGCCAGGAAAGGUUCUUCGCUGCCACAGGCCCUAGGUUUCACACAUACCUUUAAACAGCGUGGGAGAGAGUCAUAUGAAGAACCAUAUGCAACAUGUUGGCGGCUGGCAGGAGAUGGGAAAGAACAGAGGGGCUCACAUCAAUGGAUCAUUGCUGACACCACUUGUAUUUUCAGCCACUGUCCUCAUCACUGUUGCUGUAUGAGAGGAAAUGAGGUGGAGCAAGAUGUGUAGAUC